rnacentral:miRNA from 1 species
AGGGCGACAACGGUUACUGUGAUU